UGCGUCUGCUUUCGUCUUCGUAAGUCGUAAUAAGAGAUACAAGUUUCGAAAAGGAGACUAAUCGACAUUAUAAGAUUUCAAAAAAAAAAACGGAACGAUUACUUUUUUGGACGUGGAUGCACAAAAUAAAAUAACAAAAAUGUGGUCAACGUUAUGUAAACUUUGUUGUCGCAGCUUUCCAUGCUCUCCACUUCAUGCUGUUUGGCAGAUUUGAGGCCUGAACCCAGCCAUCGUAACAGCAAAGUUUUGCUUGUGCUGGACCUCCAGUCACAUAUGAUUUGACUGAUGAACUCCUGUCAUCAGCAACAAUCACAGUAGCCUAUCAUUGCUUAGAUAAACAGCACCCCAUUUAAUUGGAGAAACUUCCAGUGCCGACCGAGUUAAGGAUCUCUUCAAUUCCCCUUUCUAUCUUUUUGUCCUCGUGUACACCCAUGUGAAUGUUGGUGUAUUCACGAGGACUCCCUUUUACCUAUCCCUGCUGGUAGAUUCAACUUUUCAGCGGAUGGAUAAAGCACUUGUGAAUGCCUGGCUGCAUUUCCCAGGCUUCAAGGUAGGACAAAUUCAUUUCCAUCUAUCCUUUCUGACUAUUGAGUGGCGUUUAUUGUCAAUUGUUGCGGAGAACGGAGUACGAUUAUUCCUGUGCCAUGCAGUUGGCUGAAACUGUUUUCUCUGGCUGUUUUUGUUUUUCUCAGUCAGGGUUCAUUUUAAAAUAGCUCAAUUGCAGAUCAGGCCUGUUUUUGUACUUCGCAACUUUAUCUGUUGGUAAACGAUCAAAUUGCGAAAUUUGAAUUUGAAACACUUGAAUCAAAGUGAAACUUGAACAAUUUUUUCCAGAAUGAAAAUUUUUUUUUUUUUUUAUAUUUUAUUUUAAAAUAAAGAAGAAAAACGAGAACAUGUUAGCUAUUUUGUAGUUGCUAAUGCAGUGGCAACUGGUAUUUGAGUGAGGGAAAUGAUUUCACCAUGCUUAUUUUCGCACGGUCAUUUGCGCAAUGGGGGUGACUUCUCGUAAUGUAAAGUGGUAGUAUGCUAGAGUGUUCAAUCAAAUUACAAUUAGCGUGGACCCCAUACCCGCCAGAGCACUAUAUCUUUAUAGACGAGAAGGGCAUCGAGGAGGAAGGACGUUAUUUACGCCACGAGGAGUACAGCACUCGACACUCCAUUCAUCAUACACUCCGGCGGACACGUCUCCGGUCGCGCUACACGUUUCAUGUGGGUUUAUAUUUCUAUAGGGCCUAUAUAGAUGACUCUCAAAGAUUAUAUGGGCUCUAUACAGUAGUGGGAAGAAAGAGAGAAACAUUAAAUUCAUUUUUCGUCUGAAUGAUGUUUUUCCUGCUUGUGCAAUCAACGCUGGCCUAUAUAAUAUAGGAACGGGGGGGGGGGAAGAACUGAGGAAGCGGUCGAUU